GUGUCAGCCGCCGCGGUAACACCGGCAGCUCUAGUGGUAGCUGUUUUUAUUGGGCCUAAAGCGUUCGUAGCGGGUUUGAUAAGUCACUGGUGAAAUCCUGUAGCUUAACUGUGGGAAUUGCUGGUGAUACUGUUGAACUUGAGGUCGGGAGAGGUUAGCGGUACUCCCAGGGUAGAGGUGAAAUUCUGUAAUCCUGGGAGGACCACCUGUGGCGAAGGCGGCUAACUGGAACGAACCUGACGGUGAGGGUCGAAAGCUAGGGGCGCGAACCGGAUUAGAAACCCGGGUAGUCC
rnacentral:rRNA from 1 species